CUCUCAUUUCCAACUGACCACUCUCUCUCUAACCCACACUCUCUAUGAUACUCCAUCUCAUCUCUCUCCAAACCUCGACCUACCUCCAUCGUCUGGAAAAUGAUUCCAACGGUGGCUCCACCUCGAACCACCCUUCAAUCCUAUGUUUCCUAGGUUUUCGAUUGAAGUUAAACUGGAACCUUCAAUCAAACAUAAAAUCGCCCCUCUAACCAUCGUAGGCCCUCACCAGAGAAGAUGAAGAUUCAUCUUCUCCGACCACCCGCCACCGUCAAAACCCAUAUAUCCCAUAAACAUCUGUAAAUCACCUCAAACUUUCCUCUAAACCACAGAUCGGGCCCCCUAGUUACUGAUUCAGACUCUCCCGACCCUAAACACAAACUUUUGGCAAACCCUAAACCGAACCCAAACAAACCCUUAUCCAUUCAUCCACAGUCAUAUGCAAAAACAAAAACAUAAGCAAACAUACACCAAUCAGCAAGACAUAAAAAAGGGUUUAACAUUAGUGGUACGAGCCUACGGGAAGGAGGACUUUCUCGAUCACAAAGGAUGCAAAGUCUGGAUUAACAGAGCUAAUGCUCAAGUCAAUUAGGGUUUCAGCGUGAAACCCAAAAUAUCUUAAUCGGAUCAUUGAUUGUUCUGUUUAGGAUUUUGCAGUGAUCUAGUGUUCUCUCUCUUUCAAGUUUAGUUUUAGGUUUUUAUAGCAUUAGGUGUUAAUUCUGAUUAGGAAAAUAUUUUAGGGCAAAUUGAUUAUGAAUGCAACAAUCCAUUGAUUGCAUGUAUCUGGUCCAAUUUCUAUGUAAAUCCUAAUUUUUUAUGAUGUAUCAGUAAUAUGUUUUUAGAAAGUUUUGAUAUGUAUUUUUUCAUUACUU